rnacentral:rRNA from 1 species
AGUCAAUAGAUACCCAGGUAGUCCUGGCAGUAAACGGUGCGCGUUUGGUGUGGGAGGAAUCGACCCCUUCCGUGCCGGAGCUAAACGCGUUAAACGCGCCGCCUGGGGAGUACGGUCGCAAGAUUAAAACUCAAAGAAAUUGACGGGGGCCCGCACAAGCGGUGGAGUAUGUGGCUUAAUUCGAUGCAACGCGAAGAACCUUACCUGGGCUUGACAUGCAUUUCUAAGUCGGUGAAAGCCGGCGAGUGUAGCAAUACACGACUUGCACAGGUGCUGCAUGGCUGUCGUCAGCUCGUGUCGUGAGAUGUUGGGUUAAGUCCCGCAACGAGCGCAACCCUUGUGGCCUGUUGCCAACCAGUCUUUGACUGGUGCACUCUGGCCAGACUGCCCUGUGAAACGGGGAGGAAGGUGAGGAUGACGUCAAGUCAGCAUGGCCCUUACGCCCAGGGCUGCACACGUACUACAAUGCUCAGUACAGAACGAGCCGAAACCGCGAGGUGGAGGAAAUCACCAAAACUGAGCCCAAUUC